rnacentral:lncRNA from 1 species
AGUGGCAGUUGCAUGCUUUUAAGAUGCAGGAUGGUUCAACUAUGUAAAUUUAGUCCUAUUAUGGUGAGCAUACUUGUCUAAGAGAGGUUUGGAAUAGGAACAUGAAAUCUAGUUACUUGGUCAAAAAGUACCUUGACAGAUUCAAGACUCAAGUCUUUUUGGAUGCAAGUGAGUUGAUUGUGCAGGUCAGAAAGAAUUUGAAUGCACAAAUAUCAAAGUCCCAAGCAUAUUAGGC